rnacentral:rRNA from 1 species
GACAGCCAGGAUGUUGGCUUAGAAGCAGCCAUCAUUUAAAGAAAGCGUAAUAGCUCACUGGUCGAGUCGGCCUGCGCGGAAGAUGUAACGGGGCUAAACCAUGCACCGAAGCUGCGGCAGCGACGCUUAUGCGUUGUUGGGUAGGGGAGCGUUCUGUAAGCCUGCGAAGGUGGCCUGUGAGGGUUGCUGGAGUUAUCAGAAGUGCGAAUGCUGACAUAAGUAACGAUAAAGCGGGUGAAAAGCCCGCUCGCCGGA